rnacentral:rRNA from 1 species
AUGUCUCUGUCAUGUAAUCACCUGGUGGGAGGUAUUCCCGAUGAGCUCGGAAAGUUACCAAGUAUAUGGUGGCUGGCCUUAGGUGGCAAUAGGCUAACUGGUGGAUUCCCACAAGGUCUACUCAAUCUGUCUAAUUCCCUUCGAGUGCUUGGCUUGGAGUCGUAUAAGCUAGGAAACAGGUUGCCACUUAACAUUGGUGACAACCUCUCUAAUCUCCAAUGGCUUUUCUUGAACCGUAACAUGUUCCAAGGGAAAAUACCAGCUUCCUUAGGUAAUGCUUUAGGGAUGGAAAGAUUGGAGCUGGAGAACAACAAUUUUACUGGUGAAAUUCCUAGUUCUCUGGGUAAGCUUCAUAACUUGCACUAUUUAAAUCUUGGGGGAAACAAUCUUGAAGCAAAAGACCCCGAAAGUUGGGAGUUCUUUAAUGCAUUAACAAACUGUAGCGGUCUAAAUAUCCUUGCUCUAGAUCGAAAUCAACUAGAGGGAACAAUACCAGGUUCAAUAGGAAACUUGUCAAAUAGUCUUGAGAUGCUAACUUUGGGUGGAAACAAGCUAUCGGGUAUAGUUCCCACAAGUGUGGCAAACCUUCAGUCCCUAAUUAAUCUGGGAUUUGAUUAUAACAAUUUAAGUGGAAAGAUUGUGGAAUGGGUUGGGAUGCUUACAAAAUUGCAAAGUUUAAAUCUUUAUCAGAACAAAUUCAGCGGGCCAAUUCCCUCUUCAAUGGGAAACCUAACUCAGUUGACGUUGCUCUCUCUAGCACUCAAUGAGUUUGAAGGUCCCAUACCGUCCAGCUUGGGGAAUCUUCAACAGCUCACAUUGUUGGAUCUUAGCGAUAACACUCUCCAGAGCAACAUAACUCUAGAAGUUGGUGCCCUUACACAAAUCGUUGACGUGCGUCUUUCAUCAAACAAGCUUACUGGGGAGAUCCCACACGUCUUAGGUCAAUGUCAAAACCUGGUAACCAUUCAAAUGGACCAAAACCUUCUCAUAGGAGACAUCCCAGUAUCUCUCGGGAACCUAAAGAGCUUGAACAUGGUUAAUCUCUCCCAUAACAAAUUGUCAGGAUCCAUCCCUGAAGUUUUAGCUGACCUACCCCUCCUCGACAUGCUGGACCUUUCUUACAAUCAGCUCCAAGGAGAAGUUCCAAGAACUGGAGUAUUUAAAAAUGCUCCAUCAGUUUAUCUUGAUGGUAACUUGGCACUAUGCGGAGGAGUGGUGGAUCUCGGAAUGCCCUUGUGUCCUGCUACUUCUCAAAGAAAAGGAAAGAAGUACUAUUUGGUCAGUUUGAUUCCAGUAUUUGGCUUCUUAUCACUCAUCAUGUUGAUUUCAAUUAUAACUCUUCAUAAGAAGAAGUCACACAGAGCAUACCUGUCAUCGACUUCUUUUGGUGGAAAAUUCCCUAGAGUUUCUUACUAUGAUCUAGCUCGAGCUACUGGGAACUUCUGUGAAGCAAAUCUAAUUGGCAGAGGAAGUUGUGGUUCAGUUUACAGAGGAAAACUGACUCAACUUGAAAUGGAAGUGGCUAUUAAGGUUUUCGAUCCCAAGAUGAGAUGUGCAGAUAAAAGUUUCAUAUCAGAAUGUAAGGUUCUGAGAAGCAUUAGACAUCGGUACAUUACUCCAGUCCUAACAGCUUGUCUGUCAAUAGAUAAUUCAGGUAAUGCUUUCAAGGCUCUGAUUUAUGUACUCAUGCCAAACGGGAAUUUGGACAAAUGGUGUUGGCGCCGCCUCUCGCAGCGCCGCUUCUUCUCUACCUUGCAACUCUCUUAG